GGAUGAACGCUGGCGGCGUGCCUAAUACAUGCAAGUCGAGCGAACGGACGAGAAGCUUGCUUUUCUGAUGUUCGCGGCGGACGGGUGAGUAACACGUGGAUAACCUACCUAUAAGACUGGGAUAACUUCGGGAAACCGGAGCUAAUACCGGAUAAUAUUUUGAACCGCAUGGUUCAAAAGUGAAAGACGGUCUUGCUGUCACUUAUAGAUGGAUCCGCGCUGCAUUAGCUAGUUGGUAAGGUAACGGCUUACCAAGGCAACGAUGCAUAGCCGACCUGAGAGGGUGAUCGGCCACACUGGAACUGAGACACGGUCCAGACUCCUACGGGAGGCAGCAGUAGGGAAUCUUCCGCAAUGGGCGAAGGCCUGACGGAGCAACGCCGCGUGAGUGAUGAAGGUCUUCGGAUCGUAAAACUCUGUUAUUAGGGAAGAACAUAUGUGUAAGUAACUGUGCACAUCUUGACGGUACCUAAUCAGAAAGCCACGGCUAACUACGUG
rnacentral:rRNA from 1 species